UACGAAGGGGGCUAGCGUUGCUCGGAAUUACUGGGCGUAAAGGGCGCGUAGGCGGACAGUUUAGUCAGAGGUGAAAGCCCAGGGCUCAACCUUGGAAUUGCCUUUGAUACUGGCUGUCUUGAGUUCGGGAGAGGUGAGUGGAAUGCCGAGUGUAGAGGUGAAAUGCGUAGAUAUCGGGAGGAACACCAGUGGCGAAGGCGACUACCUGGCCUGUUCUUGACGCUGAGGCGCGAAAGCUAGGGGAGCAAACGGG
rnacentral:rRNA from 1 species